GGGUCAGGAGGUUGGUCGUGCCACCGGUACGUACUGGUCUCACUGAUUCCUCCUUCCUGAAGAACCGUAAUGCCAUUAAUUUGGUUUUGCGGGGAAACAGGACUGUUACUUUGAAAAAAUUAGAGUGUUUAAAGCAAGCUAACGCUUGAAUACAUUAGCAUGGGAUAAUGAAAUAGGACGAUCGAUCCUAUUUUGUUGGUUUCUAGGAUUGACGUA
rnacentral:rRNA from 1 species